rnacentral:rRNA from 1 species
GAUAAACGCUGGCGGCGUGCAUAACACAUGCAAGUCGAACGAUGAAACUUAACUGAUUUCUUCGGAAUGAUUUUAAGUGGAUUAGUGGCGGACGGGUGAGUAACGCGUGAGUAACCUGCCUUGCACAAGGGGAUAGCCGUUGGAAACGACGAAUAAUACCCUAUGAUAUAAACUCUUCGCAUGAAGAGCUUAUCAAAGAUUUAUCGGUGUAAGAUGGACUCGCGUCUGAUUAGCUAGUUGGUGGGGUAACAGCCUACCAAGGCAACGAUCAGUAGCCGGCUUGAGAGAGUGUACGGCCACAUUGGGACUGAGACACGGCCCAGACUCCUACGGGAGGCAGCAGUGGGGAAUUUUGCACAAUGGGGGCAACCCUGAUGCAGCGACGCCGCGUGAUUUAGAAGGCCUUCGGGUUGUAAAAAUCUUUUGUAUGGGAAGAAAAUGACAGUACCAUACGAAUAAGGACCGGCUAAUUACGUG